rnacentral:rRNA from 1 species
GACAGAGGGUGCAAACGUUGUCCGGAAUUAUUGGGCGUAAAGAGCUCGUAGGCGGUUUGUUGCGUCGGCUGUGAAAUCCCGAGGCUCAACCUCGGGUCUGCAGUCGAUACGAGCAAACUAGAGUGUUGCAGGGGAGACUGGAAUUCCUGGUGUAGCGGUGAAAUGCGCAGAUAUCAGGAGGAACACCGGUGGCGAAGGCGGGUCUCUGGGCAACAACUGACGCUGGAGGAGCGAAAGCGUGGGGAGCGAACAGG